GACGAACGCUGGCGGCGUGCUUAACACAUGCAAGUCGAACGGAAAGGCCUGCUUUCCCUUGUGGAUUGCGGGUACUCGAGUGGCGAACGGGUGAGUAACACGUGAGUGAUCUGCCCCCAACUUGGGUAUAAGCCUGGGAAACUGGGUCUAAUUCCCGAUAGGACUGCAGGGUGGUGCCUGUGGUGGAAAACGAUUUUCUAGUGGUUGGGGAUGAGCUCGCGGCCUAUCAGCUUGUUGGUGGGGUAAUGGCCUACCAAGGCGGCGACGGGUAGCCGGCCUGAGAGGGUGGACGGCCCCAUUGGGACUGAGAUACGGCCCAGACUCCUACGGGAGGCAGCAGUGGGGAAUAUUGCACAAUGGGCGGAAGCCUGAUGCAGCGACGCCGCGUGGGGGAUGACGGCCUUCGGGUUGUAAACUCCUUUCGACCGCGAGGAAGCCACCUGGUUGGAAGGGUGGUGACGGUAGUGGUAGAAGAAGCACCGGCUAACUACGUG
rnacentral:rRNA from 1 species